AUGGCACUACAUCCUGUCUAUUUUUGCACAGGCACUACAUCCUGUCUAUUUUUGCAUAUGCAACUACUCCUUUUUUUGUUUAUAUGCGCACAUCCAGGCAAAAGUUGGCUUGGAUUCAUGUUUAGUUGCACAAAUAGAUGGUUUUUUGCACAGGCACUUCACCCUGUCUAUUUUUUGCACAUGGGUUGGUUUAUUUGCAUGCAUCCAGGCAAAAGUUGGCUUGGAUCCAUGUUUAGUUGCACAGGAAAGUGUUUUAUUGUGCAGAGAUCAGAUUCAACUCUAUUUGCUGCUUCAUGUUCCCUCUUCCUCCAACUAUGGAGAAGACCGGAGAAGAUUUGUGGCAGAUCCAGAGGGAAAGGGAAGGGGAAAGUGAAGAAGGAUGAUCUGAAGGCUAGAGGGAAGUUACCUGAUGUUGCUGCCUGCUAUGGCUCUGUACUCCCUCUUCUUGGAAUUGAAGCUUUUCUGGCCAAUUUCUUCACCUAG
rnacentral:rRNA from 1 species